GGUGAACAUCAACAAGAAGAGGACGUAGCUACAGGUCAGGCGAGUGGUAAAAAUGUUGAAGAAUACAGUGCAACCUUUGAUACUGAAAAAGAUGAAGCUAUUUGCGCAACAGAACCCGCCCCUACGAGCGAGACAAAUCUGAAAGAAUAUAAUCCAAGCAUCUUAA